GUGGCGAACGGGUGAGUAACACGUGGGCAAUCUGCCCUGCACUCUGGGACAAGCCCUGGAAACGGGGUCUAAUACCGGAUACUGAUCCUCGCAGGCAUCUGUGAGGUUCGAAAGCUCCGGCGGUGCAGGAUGAGCCCGCGGCCUAUCAGCUAGUUGGUGAGGUAAUGGCUCACCAAGGCGACGACGGGUAGCCGGCCUGAGAGGGCGACCGGCCACACUGGGACUGAGACACGGCCCAGACUCCUACGGGAGGCAGCAGUGGGGAAUAUUGCACAAUGGGCGAAAGCCUGAUGCAGCGACGCCGCGUGAGGGAUGACGGCCUUCGGGUUGUAAACCUCUUUCAGCAGGGAAGAAGCGAAAGUGACGGUACCUGCAGAAGAAGCGCCGGCUAACUACGUGCCAGCAGCCGCGGUAAUACGUAGGGCGCAAGCGUUGUCCGGAAUUAUUGGGCGUAAAGAGCUCGUAGGCGGCUUGUCACGUCGGUUGUGAAAGCCCGGGGCUUAACCCCGGGUCUGCAGUCGAUACGGGCAGGCUAGAGUUCGGUAGGGGAGAUCGGAAUUCCUGGUGUAGCGGUGAAAUGCGCAGAUAUCAGGAGGAACACCGGUGGCGAAGGCGGAUCUCUGGGCCGAUACUGACGCUGAGGAGCGAAAGCGUGGGGAGCGAACAGGAUUAGAUACCCUGGUAGUCCACGCCGUAAACGGUGGGCACUAGGUGUGGGCAACAUUCCACGUUGUCCGUGCCGCAGCUAACGCAUUAAGUGCCCGCUGGGGAGUACGGCGCAAGGCUAAACUCAAAGGAUUGACGGGGGCCCGCACAAGCGGCGGAGCAUGUGGCUUAAUUCGACGCAACGCGAAGAACCUUACCAAGGCUUGACAUACACCGGAAAACCCUGGAGACAGGGUCCCCCUUGUGGUCGGUGUACAGGUGGUGCAUGGCUGUCGUCAGCUCGUGUCGUGAGAUGUUGGGUUAAGUCCCGCAACGAGCGCAACCCUUGUCCCGUGUUGCCAGCAGGCCCUUGUGGUGCUGGGGACUCACGGGAGACCGCCGGGGUCAACUCGGAGGAAGGUGGGGACGACGUCAAGUCAUCAUGCCCCUUAUGUCUUGGGCUGCACACGUGCUACAAUGGCCGGUACAAUGAGCUGCGAUACCGCGAGGUGGAGCGAAUCUCAAAAAGCCGGUCUCAGUUCGGAUUGGGGUCUGCAACUCGACCCCAUGAAGUCGGAGUCGCUAGUAAUCGCAGAUCAGCAUUGCUGCGGUGAAUACGUUCCCGGGCCUUGUACACACCGCCCGUCACGUCACGAAAGUCGGUAACACCCGAAGCCGGUGGCCCAACCCCCGUGGGAGG
rnacentral:rRNA from 1 species